rnacentral:rRNA from 1 species
AUUGAACGCUGGCGGCAUGCCUUACACAUGCAAGUCGAGCGGCAGCGCGGGGGCAACCCUGGCGGCGAGCGGCGGACGGGUGAGUAAUACAUCGGAACGUGUCCUUUCGUGGGGGAUAACCAGUCGAAAGAUUGGCUAAUACCGCAUGAGAUCGCAAGAUGAAAGCGAGGGACCCGAGGGUAACUUCGGGCCUCGCGCGAUUGGAGCGGCCGAUGUCGGAUAGCUAGUUGGCGGGGUAAAAGCCCACCAAGGCUACGAUCCGUAGCUGGUUUGAGAGAACGACCAGCCACACUGGGACUGAGACACGGCCCAGACUCCUACGGGAGGCAGCAGUGGGGAAUUUUGGACAAUGGGCGCAAGCCUGAUCCAGCCAUGCCGCGUGUGUGAAGAAGG